AUACGGAGGGUGCGAGCGUUAAUCGGAAUUACUGGGCGUAAAGCGCGCGUAGGCGGCAUAGUCAGUCGGAUGUGAAAGCCCCGGGCUCAACCUGGGAACUGCAUUCGAAACUGCUAAGCUAGAGUUUGGUAGAGGGCAGUGGAAUUCCGGGUGUAGCGGUGAAAUGCGUAGAUAUCCGGAGGAACACCAGUGGCGAAGGCGACUGCCUGGACCAAAACUGACGCUGAGGUGCGAAAGCGUGGGGAGCAAACAGGAUUAGAAACCCUAGUAGUCC
rnacentral:rRNA from 1 species